UGAAUACGAGAUGCUACGGCGUCGAAGCAGUCUAUGUCAUACUUCCAAGAAAAGCUUGCACUGUCAUAAACAAAUAAUCCCUGUACCAUAACCGACACAGGUGGGUAGGUAGAGUAUACUAAGGGGCGCGAGAUAACUCUCUCUAAGGAACUCGGCAAAAUGACUCCGUAACUUCGGGAGAAGGAGUGCCUUAUUUAUAAGGUUGCAAUAACAAGAUCCAAGCAACUGUUUACCAAAAACACAGGUCUCCGCUAAGUCGUAAGACGAUGUAUGGGGGCUGACGCCUGCCCAGUGCCAGAAGGUUAAAGAAGUUGGUUAGCAUCCGCGAAGCUGAUAACUGAAGCCCUGGUGAACGGCGGCCGUAACUAUAACGGUCCUAAGGUAGCGAAAUUCCUUGUCGGGUAAGUUCCGACCCGCACGAAAGGCGUAAUGAUUUGGAUACUGUCUCGGAGAGGGGCUCGGUGAAAUAGACUUGUCUGUGAAGAUGCGGACUACCUGCACCAGGACAGAAAGACCCUAUGAAGCUUUACUGUAACCUGAAAUUGAAAUUGGACUUUACUUGCGCAGUAUAGGUGGGAGGCGUUGAGAAUAUUCUUGCGGGAUUAUUGGAGCCAUCAGUGAGAUACCACUCUUGUAAUGUUAGAUUUCUAACUUUGUAUCAUUAUCUGGUCAAAGAACAGUUUCAGGCGGGCAGUUUGACUGGGGCGGUCGCCUCCUAAACGGUAACGGAGGCGCACAAAGGUUUCCUCUGAACGGGUAGAAAUCGUAUCUAGAGUGUAAAGGCAUAAGGAAGCUUGACUGUGAGACCUACAAGUCGAGCAGGGACGAAAGUCGGUCUUAGUGAUCUGACGGUGCUGAGUGGAAAGGCCGUCACUCAACGGAUAAAAGUUACUCUAGGAUAACAGGCUGAUCUCCCCCAAGAGUUCACAUCGACGGGGAGGUUUGGCUCCUCGAUGUCGGCUCAUCGCAUCCUGGGGCGGUAGUACGUCCCAAGGGUUGGGCUGUUCGCCCAUGAAAGCGGUACGCGAGCUGGGUUCAGAACGUCGUGAGACAGUUCGGUCCAUAUCCGGUGUAGGCGUUAGAAUAUUGAGAGGAGCCUUCUUUAGUACGAGAGGACCGAGAAGGACAUACCUCUGGUGUACCAGUUAUCGUGCCAACGGUAAACGCUGGGUAGCUAUGUGUGGAGUGGAUAACCGCUGAAAGCAUCUAAGUGGGAAGCCCACCUCAAGAUAAGUAUUCUCAUC
rnacentral:rRNA from 1 species